UACGUAGGGGGCAAGCGUUGUCCGGAUUCAUUGGGCGUAAAGAGCGUGUAGGCGGCCAGGUAGGUCUGCUGUGAAAACUCGAGGCUUAACCUCGAGCUGUCGGCGGAAACCAUCUGGCUAGAGUCCGGAAGAGGAGAAUGGAAUUCCCGGUGUAGCGGUGAAAUGCGCAGAUAUCGGGAAGAACCCCCGUGGCGAAGGCGGUUCUCUGGGACGGUACUGACGCUGCGACGCGAAAGCGUGGGGAGCGAACAGG
rnacentral:rRNA from 1 species